UACGUAGGGGGCGAGCGUUAUCCGGAAUUACUGGGCGUAAAGCGCACGCAGGCGGUUCGCCAAGUUUGGAGUGACAGUUGUCGGCUCAACCGACAAAGGACUUCAAAAACUGGUGAACUUGAGGACGAGAGAGGAACAUGGAACUCCAGGUGUAGUAGUGAAAUGCGUAGAUAUCUGGAAGAACACCAAUGGCGAAGGCAAUGUCCUGGCUCGUUUCUGACGCUCAGGUGCGAAAGCCAGGGGAGCGAACGGG
rnacentral:rRNA from 1 species